rnacentral:rRNA from 1 species
CCUACGGGGGGCAGCAGUGAGGAAUAUUGGUCAAUGGACGAAAGUCUGAACCAGCCAUGUAGCGUGCAGGAAGACGGCCCUAUGGGUUGUAAACUGCUUUUGUACGGGAGUAAAACGCGGUACGUGUACCGGUUUGAAUGUACCGUACGAAUAAGGAUCGGCUAACUCCGUGCCAGCAGCCGCGGUAAUACGGAGGAUUCGAGCGUUAUCCGGAUUUAUUGGGUUUAAAGGGUGCGUAGGCGGGUCGUUAAGUCAGUGGUGAAAUUCUGGGGCUCAACCCCAACACUGCAAUUGAUACUGGCAGGCUUGAGUAUAGUUGCGGUAGGCGGAAUUCGUGGUGUAGCGGUGAAAUGCUUAGAUAUCACGAAGAACCCCGAUUGCGAAGGCAGCUUGCUGGACUGUAACUGACGCUGAUGCUCGAAAGUGUGGGUAUCAAACAGGAUUAGAUACCCUAGUAGUC